ensembl:lncRNA
CUGAGGAGGAGGAAGAUGAGGAUGAGGAGGAUGAGGAUGGAGGCGCUGAGGAUGAGGAAGAUGGGGGCACUGAGGAAGAGGAGGAAGAGGAGGAGGAUGGAGGCAUUGAAGAUGAGGAGGAUGAUGAUGGGGUGCUGAGGACAAGGAUGAAGGCACUGAGGAGGAGGAGGAGGAGGAUGGGAGCGCUGAGGAGGAGGAAGAUGAGGAUGAGGAGGACGAGGGUGGGGGCCCUGAGGAGGAAGAUGAGGACGGAGGCGCUGAGGACAAGGAUGAAGACGAUGAGGAGGAGGAAGAUGGGGGCACUGAGGAAGGUGAUGAGGAGGAGGAAGAUGAGGAGGAGGAUGGAGGCACUGAAGAUGAGGAUGGAGAUGAUGAGGAUGACGGGGUUGCUGAGGACAGGGAUGAAGGCACUGAGGAUGAAGAGGAGGAAGAUGGGGGCGCUGAGGAGGACGAGGAUGAGGAGGAUGAGGAUGGAGGCAGUGAGGAUGAGGAAGAUGGGGGCACCGAGGAAGAUGAGGAGGAGGAGGAAGAUGAGGAUGGAGAUGAUGAGGAUGAGGAUGAUGAUGGGGGCACUGAGGACAAGGAUGAAGGCACUGAGGACGAGGAGGAGGAAGAUGGGGGAGCUGAGGAGGAGGAAGAUGAGGAUGAGGAGGAUGAGGAUGGAGGCACUGAGGAGGAGGAAGAUGGGGGCACUGAGGAAGAGGAGGAGGAAGAUGAGGAUGGAGAUGCUGAGGAUGAUGAUGAUGGGGGCGCUGAGGACAAGGAUGAAGGCACUGAGGAGAAAGAGGAGGAAGAUGAGGAUGAGGAGGGCGAGGCCCC